rnacentral:rRNA from 1 species
AGUUUGAUCCUGGCUCAGGACGAACGCUGGCGGCGUGCCUAAUACAUGCAAGUCGAACGCUUCUUUCCUAUCGAGUGCUUGCACUCACUUGGAAAGAGGAGUGGCGGACGGGUGAGUAACACGUGGGUAACCUGCCCAUCAGAGGGGGAUAACACUUGGAAACAGGUGCUAAUACCGCAUAACAGUCAACACCGCAUGGUGUUGGAUUGAAAGACGCUUUCGGGUGUCGCUGAUGGAUGGACCCGCGGUGCAUUAGCUAGUUGGUGAGGUAACGGCUCACCAAGGCCAUGAUGCAUAGCCGACCUGAGAGGGUGAUCGGCCACACUGGGACUGAGACACGGCCCAGACUCCUACGGGAGGCAGCAGUAGGGAAUCUUCGGCAAUGGACGAAAGUCUGACCGAGCAACGCCGCGUGAGUGAAGAAGGUUUUCGGAUCGUAAAACUCUGUUGUUAGAGAAGAACAAGUGGGAGAGUAACUGUUCCCGCCUUGACGGUAUCUAACCAGAAAGCCACGGCUAACUACGUGCCAGCAGCCGCGGUAAUACGUAGGUGGCAAGCGUUGUCCGGAUUUAUUGGGCGUAAAGCGAGCGCAGGCGGUUUCUUAAGUCUGAUGUGAAAGCCCCCGG